AGUCCAUGAUGUGGGCAUUGUCUGAGAAUAUUAUUAAAUCUAUCCCACGCUUUAAAUAAUGAUUCUGAGUCUGACAGUCUGAAGCUUGCUAUCAAAUUUCUUAUAUGACU